GAGGUUUUUGGGUGGACUGUCCCUUUAAAGCCUGUUCCUGUUGUUUCUGUCUGUGUUCCUCAGUUUUACACGCCAUGAGGGACGACAGUGAGAAAGUUCCCAGCCUGCUGACCGAUUACAUCCUCAAAGUUUUGUGUCCCACAUAGACGCAGCAGAACCUUCCCGAAGGAUCCAGCGUGUGGGAUUGCGUGGUUCUGGACUGAGGCAGUUUCUUCUUCUUCUUCUUCUACCGUUCUUCCUUCUCCUUCACAUCAGCCAGAGAUUCUCCUAACAGCUCCUGGUUUAUGUAUCCGGCUGUGUUUUAACGGACUAGUGUGCGGUUCUCGUUAUUUUUCCUGUAUAUUCUGUAGGUCUCGUCGUGCUUAGCCGGUGAACGGUGAGCGGUGGGGGUUUUGCUGAGUCCGUGUGGC
ensembl:lncRNA